CAGCGGGUGGCUGAAGUGGGGGGAAGGCUUAUCGACGUGACGCACACCUGGGCCGCCGUCCUCCACCUCUCUUCCGUGUCUUUGAGAUGAAAGCUCUUAUAGGCCAACGGCUGUGCAGAGAAAAUCAGCUGCCUGUAAAGCAGAUGUUAAAGGAAUUGUACUUUUUUUAUUACAAGGACUGGAGGCUCAUACUUUCUGCAGACUCCGAUGAUCAAAGACCACAGUGCGGAUGGCAGGAUGGAAAGCGGGAGGAUGGGAUGGAGAGAACCGACAGAUGGAGAGGAGGGCAUGGGCUUGAAUUAAGCACACAAUGAAGACAGUUUCUUUUUGACUUGCGAAUAUGUCUGUGAAUAUUUUAGUAGGAACUGAAGCAAGAAUAUUAAGAAAUAUUCAGACAAGU